UAUGAUGUAUAAUAUGAAGUUAGGUAGGUAGUUUUCUGUGAAAUAUGUGGUCACACUGGGCCCCGUCAUA
rnacentral:tRNA from 1 species